rnacentral:rRNA from 1 species
GACGAACGCUGGCGGCGUGCUUAACACAUGCAAGUCGAACGGCGCGGCGCACGGGUGAGUAACGCGUGAGUAACUGCCCCCCUCUCUGGGAUAACAGUUGGAAACGGCUGCUAAUACCGGAUAGUGGGGGAUGACUCGCGUCCUAUCAGCUUGUGGGUGGGGUAGUGGCCUACCAAGGCGACGACGGGUAGCCGGCCUGAGCGGGCGACCGGCCACAUUGGGCUGAGAUACGGACCAAACUCCUACGGGAGGCAGCAGUGGGGAAUAUGGCACAAUGGGGGAAACCCUGAUGCAGCACCGCCGCGUGCGGGAUAACGGGCUUUGGGUUGUAAACCGCUUUCAGCCAUGACGCGGUAGUGGCAGAAGAAGCACCGGCUAACUACGUGCCAGCAGCCGCGGUAAUAC